GUUGUUUGUUUCUGUGUUGGGAUUCGGUGCACAAUCCAUUAACAUCUGGUCUCUACAUUUGCCAUCAUUACAGCAAACUAACUGUAGCCUUUUUCUCUUUACCUGUAGAAACCUCUGCACCAUGAGAGCCAAGUGGAGGAAGAAGCGAAUGCGCAGGCUGAAGCGUAAAAGAAGAAAGAUGAGGCAGAGGUCCAAGUAAACCGCUAGCUUGUGCACCGGUGGAGCCACAGGAGCAGAAAUAAGGAAAGCCAGAGGCCAGGGACGCUGGUACCAAUUGUUGGGCUGUAUGCCUACUCCCUAGAGCUUGAGUCAAUGGAUCUAGACCAUCCAUCGCCGUCUGAUCGCAGCUACCACCUUUGAGAGACCCGCCUUGUUCAUACCAAAACCGACUCUUUUGGCCCUUUGCCCUGGACCUGUGACUUUUCGGGACUAACUCUUUUCAUUUGUGGCUGAAUGUAACACGUGUACAAUAAAUCAUCUCUUCUGCUGUCUUAGCUGAAGGAAAAAAAUGA